CCUGAGUGCAGCUGGAUGAUCAUGCUCUGACCAAAUGGCGUUUUGUGGAAGACUUGAGAUUCGCUGCACUCAGCUGUUUCCCAGAGCUGCAUCUGCUUCAGGGAGCUUUUAGGAGACAUGGGAAGAACCCUGAGUUUCUGCUGGGCCUGGGAAAGUCCAUUCUCCUGCUCCCUGGGCUGUGGAGCAGCCAACAGUCAUGCCACAUUCCCAAAGGUGUUGGAUUGCCAAAAGUGGAGCCCAACAGAGCCAGGCAGUCUGGUCUGGUCCAUCUCCAGAAGGAGAUGCCAAAGGAAAGACCCAGCUGUGCUAAUUAAUCACAGGAUGAACCGACACCAUUGUGAGAUCAUGAGAAAGGCAGACUGGAUCCUGGCAAGACAUAGGAAGGAGGGGAAGCCUUUUCAAAAGGUGUUAGAGGCUCACUGGGGACCCCGUGUGCUUUUCAGCGCAGCUUCCAGGCCAGAAAGAUCCCAGAAGAAAUGCAAGAAAAGGGCAACUAGAACCACCAGGCAAUAGGUGGUUUCUCGUAGAUGAAACUGAAAGCUUGUGGUACCUCCAACCUACUGAAAUGAAAUCUGAGAAGGACACAAUACCUAGAAACACACUGAAGAGUAGAACUGUUAAGGCUGGAAAAGACCACUACAGUCACCUAGUCCAACCAUCAACCCGCGCCUGUGACUACUUGAAACCAUGUCACUCAGUGCAAUAUCCAUCCUGUAGUGCAAAGGAAAAAAGAGCCAACCAACCAACCAACCAACAACAGAGUGUUUUGAUUUAAAGAGCAAAUGUGGCACAAGGAGUUGGAGUAUAACCUCUGCCCAUAAUUACAUAAACAUGCGAGGAUCUCUGCUGACUAGGGGAAAGCCUGAUCAGUUUUAGGGCUGAUGCUAUCUCCUCAGAAAUCCCCCCAGCAUGCUGGAGGCAGCAGAACUCCUCUUGCAGUGGCCAUAAGGAUUUAAUUUUUUUUCCAGAAGUGAAGAUAUAUUGUUACUCAUCUUUCUAACUCCAGGAGCCUGCACUAUGGGGACUGGGGAACAUGACAGCAACGGAAAAGGAAGUUCUGCUGCUGAUGGCCGCAGGCCUACAUUUUAUCACUGAGCUGUGAGGAGACACAAAUAGUCUGAGUCUAUUGGAGGAACCACAUGAAAAUCUCAAGAAACUGGGGCGUGGACAGCUCUUCCUUAGACUUUAGUAGCCAUUGUGGUUACUGUUUUGCUUUGUUUAAAUUUACGAUGAUUUCAAUGGGAAAGGAAAAUAGAGUACCUGACUUCUCAGCUUUCUUUAAGGAUUUAGAAGGACUUUUUCAAUACUAGAGAUCAGGACUAACUACAGAUUUCUCCUCAAGCCCAUUGGAAUCAUAUGAUGCCAUGCCUGAAACGUGCUCUGAGCACAACAAGGAUAUCUCAGAUCUCAGCAGGUCAGUCCCUGGUGCUAAACACCAAUGCAUUAAAUACCAUUACAACAAGGCAGACUGUCAUCACGCAGAACAGCAGACAAAGCUCCAAGUCUUUCCUGCAAGGCUAUAAAACCGAAGUGGACAAGUUCAAGUUGAAGUUAUCAGGGAUGACGGCUCAAGUGGUAUCCUGUACGUCAGACUCAGAGCUGAAUGACCUCUCUCUUCCUCUCACCAAAGAAACAACUGGUGAGGAUGUGUCAGAUUGUAUCUCUGAUUUGGAUUUCUAGUUGGGGA
ensembl:lncRNA